UGGGGAAUAUUGGACAAUGGGCGAAAGCCUGAUCCAGCCAUGCCGCGUGAGUGAAGAAGGCCUUAGGGUUGUAAAGCUCUUUCAGCGGGGACGAUAAUGACGGUACCCGCAGAAGAAGCCCCGGCUAACUUCGUGCCAGCAGCCGCGGUAAUACGAAGGGGGCUAGCGUUGUUCGGAAUUACUGGGCGUAAAGCGCGCGUAGGCGGAUCAUUAAGUCAGGGGUGAAAUCCCAGGGCUCAACCCUGGAACUGCCUUUGAUACUGUUGAUCUGGAGUUCGGGAGAGGUGAGUGGAAUUCCGAGUGUAGAGGUGAAAUUCGUAGAUAUUCGGAGGAACACCAGAAGCGAAGGCGGCUCACUGGCCCGAUACUGACGCUGAGGCGCGAAAGCGUGGGGAGCAAACAG
rnacentral:rRNA from 1 species